CUAAUCUUGCACCCUAUAAUCACUACUCCUUUUCCAUCUCUCAAAUCCAACCGUUUAUAAUUUUUUCACAAUCGUCCGAUAAACCAAAGAUUCCACUAUAUAAACUUUCCUUCUCUCCUCACCCGCCCCAUCUUUCAUUCCCUCUAUUAUUCUCUCUCUCACAUAAGAAACGUUUCUCUUGGAUCUGUUCCUCCCUAUUAGACCAGGCCGUUUCUUCUUCCACGUUUCGAUUAUGGCAUUUAGCCGUUUCGAUCACCGUUCUCCAAUAUCAGAUUCCACUAUUCAAACGUUUCGAUUGCCGUUUCUUAUUCGCUUUAGAUCCACAGAGUUCGGAUGAAGGUACCACAAUUAAGCUUUAGAUUCCAAUAUUCAAACGUUUUGUUUGGUAGAUCUGCUUCUUUGAAUCUUGAAUCGACGCAACUCUUGUUUUUCCAUUCAGUUCGUCACGACCGUUGCGAAUCUCAAUCUCAGCGAUUCAAUUUCGGCGAAUAGCAUAUAAAUUUCUUGACCAGAGUAUUUUCAAGAAAUGGUGACAUGGCUGAGGAUCUUUGAUUAUAACACAAGGAUUAUACUUUCGGGACCAAUUCAAUUCGAUGAAUAGCACAUAUAUUUCAUCACCAGAGUAUUUUCAAGAAAUGGUGACGUGUCCGAUGAUCAGAUCGUUGGCGAUGGAUUUUGAUUAUCGCACAAGGAUUUACUUGCGGGGACCGUUGAUUGUGAAGAUAAAAUAGACAGGCUGGUUGGUUUGAAUAAGCUUAUGAGAGAAAUUUGGCAUAUAUGUUGUGUUAUUAAAUCAAUCAUUCAAUGAAUCUGAUGGAGAGAAGCGAGAGAGGUAUAAUAUAAUAUGUGUUGUUAUCAAUCGACCUUUGCCAUGACGGGUGCGCUUGCAUGGCAGGUCAAAACCACACUUAAUAAAAUUUUCUAUUUUUUGGGUUUUGGGGGGAGACGGCCCAGCCUUUUUUUCCAUUUUGGGCUUUUGGGCCGGGCUCCUCCCUUGCGUGCGUGUUUCUCUUUUUUUUUUUUUUUUUUUAAUUAAUCUCUCUCUCAAAAGUCAAAACGCAAAAAACUAGCAUACAUUACCCUAUAUACAGACAAGCGUGGCCAGAAUAGCUGCUCUUUAUGCUGCCCAUCCUAAAGGUUCGUUAACACAAAAGGUAAUUGCAAAUUUGCAAUAUUUAAUUUCCAAUCUAUUACAAUUUACAGCCCAAUUAUUUAAGCAAGCAUUGCCCUUUAAAUAUUUUUAUAUACAAUUACAAUUCAUUUAACAAGCUUAAUAAUUUUGAGCAUAUUAUCAGCAUGAAAGAACACAUAAAUUUUCAACUACAAUAUGCCCCACAACGUGCAUCAUUUUAUUAUAAAAAAAAAAAAAGGAUAUGCUAUUCCUUUUAUUUAUAAUCGUGGAUCCAACUGGAGGUGGCAUGGAUAGAGAAAUAUAAUAAAUAAUAUCAGCAACUAAGCAAAUGAGUUGGUACUUGCAUUUUUAUUUACCAAAUGUUAGCACAAUGCCACAAGCUAUUACUCCCAUAACUUUCAUUCUACCACACAAUUACAAUUGGUUACUUACAAUUGCAUAUGAAUGGGGAGGAAUCAUAUUUUGGACUAGAAUUAUUCAAUGCCUUUGUGCGCUGGUCAUUUAGUAUUUUACAAGUCGUGUUUGGACUUAAUGCUUUAUAUGUUCCUCAUUUAGGAUUCGAGUGUUCAGUACAGUUUGUACUCAACUUCUGUAUCUGUUUAUCAAUUGUGGGGUGUAAAGCUUUGUAUUACAUAAUGUAACCGUAUAAAGUGGCGUGCUCUCAAGUUGCUUAACCAGAAUCACUGCUGUUCAAGUUCUGGGCCUAGUUGUGGAUUCUUCAUGUGUAUGGUUGAUCAAUUCUAUGACUUGCAGAAAUCUGCUGCUUUGACUCCUAACUUGCCCGGACGUGUUAUGCUAGCUAUAACAGUGAAGGGAGUAUAUCUCUUGAGACAGCUUGUAUUCUGGUCAGUUCUGCUGUGGAGUGCCUCUUUGUACUUGUGUUGGGGCUGAAGUCUUUGUUGAUGUAGAUUUUCUCUUUGAAAUUCCUGAAGGCGUUUCUUUGUUGUGAAACAAAUUGCUUUAGCUUCCAGAAUUGCCUUUUCAAAGUUGCUCUAGUACACGAACCAGGAUAAAGAUAACCGUUUGUUAUUCCAAUGUCAUGUCAUUUAGCUCGACACUUUUGCCGGUCGGUAUUGUAAUUCCAUGUUCCACCUAGGAUUUGAAGAUUUAUUGAGACUGAUACUGAAGACUUUAGUGUGAGACCUCAAGGAUUGCGUCUACUGGACUUUGUUGAUUUAAAAUCGUACAUCGAACUCCCAAUACCUUAUUUAUACAAGGUUGGUUAUUCGUCUUGGUAAAAUGCAAUGCCCAAUUCAAGUCAGAAACUCAAGGCAAAAUGCAAUCCAUGAUUCAGUGAUAUCCCUUUGUGGUUUCUAUUUCAUUUCAUAAGGUUGCAUUUGGCAAAGCUUAUUGCAGUGUGAUUGUGUUGUUAUUGGGUUCUACCUGUACAUGGAUCUAUAAGCUCAAACUGGUGAGAGCGCUCAAACUAUGUGUUUGGGAGGUUGGUGGUUCAAGUCCGCCUGGAUCCUCUAUUUUAGAGUUGGAUAUUUGGACAAAUUUAAAUACACUUUCUAAGUGUAAAUUCUCCAAUUAAAUUUAAACAUCCGAAUUUUCUUUAGAAAAUAUUACAGUGUUUAUGUUGUAUUAAUCAAUGGAGAUGUGUGUAAAUUUAACUAGUAACUUAAUUUACUGCAUUUGAGGAUUUGUACUUAAUUUUCGCCCUAGAUGCAUUUGUGGUGGAGACAUUAGUAAUAACACUUAAAAUAUCUUCAAGUGGGGAAAGCCAUGAGGAACUACUGUUGAGCAAGGGUUUAUUUCAGCUCUUGAGAAGAAAAAAAAUAGGAUUUAAAUAUUUAGGAGUUGUGCUCAAUAUUUAGGAGUUUAUUUUCCAAUUAAUUAGUUUAAACAGUGCGUGAUACAAUUUAAUUUGUAGUUCUUAAUGCAUGCUUGACAUGAAUAUUUUCUAGGCACAUCUCAUGGUGUUAGAUUGGUGCAUUGGUGCACAAUCUUUUGCCCUUAUUUAGCUCACAACUGGAAAACAUAAAUAUUUUGCUUGGUUAAUAAUUCAGUUUUCAGUUGUAUUUCAAUCACACUGUAAUUGAGAGAUUUAUAAAGCAUCCACACUUAUAGUGUUGUUUCCAAAAUUGGUAAAAACAAGUGGACAAGGUUGCCUCGUUUGCAUACAGAUGACCAGGCAACAAUUACACUAGGGAAUGUACACAACUAAGCUUAAACGUUUGAGAUUUUCACAAAUAAACUAAUGCUAAAGUAUUUGUGUUUAAAAAACUGUAGAUAUCAAUGAUAUCAACUAGCAAAUAAAAUAAUAAAUAAACAAAUAAGUACUCCAAAGAUCAGUUGAAAUAAACACCAACAGUCGAACUCAAUUAAACGACAAUUAACCGAAUGCUAAAGUAUGUGUUAAAAAUUGUAAAUAUCAAGGGAAAUCAACUAUCAAAUGCAAUAAUAAUAAAAUAAAAUAAAAAAAAUAAAAAAUAAAUUAUUCCAAAGAUCGGUUGAAAACGAACAUCAUUACUUAAGUUACUCAAAAAAUAAAAGAAAGACACUGAUUAAAAAACACCACCUGAACUACUUUUAGGUAAUAUAAGGGUGUUCCUAAAUUUAGGUGUUUGGCUUGUGAUUAUCUUCAUCUAAUAUGUCACUGAAGUCAAAGUCAAUCAUGUCAAAAUCGGAAUCGGAAAAGAGCCAAUCACUGGAGUCAAGAUUAAUCGUGUCAAAAUCGGAAUCGGAAAGGACCCGAUCGUUGAUUAUGUCACCUGUCUCAGGCAAAUAAUCUUGUUGCUUUUGCUUACUACCAAAAGUGCCGUCUUCACGCACUUCAGGCAGCAGCGGCUCAUACUCCCUAGCAUGAGUAGGCAGCUUAUGAGAACUGGUGGCCAUUGGAGUCAUCUUAGACAAAUCAUCUUGUUGCUCUUGCACACUUCCAAGAGUGUUAAUUUCAUGCACUUCUAACCGCGGGUCAUCCUCCCUAACAUGAGUAGGCUGCUUAGAAGAACUUGACAUUGCAGUAUGAUUCAGAGUUGUCAUUUUCAUGUUGUAAUUAACUGGAGAUUGAUUGGGGAAAUUAUUGGUGGGUCCCCAAAAAGAGUUAAAAUGUUGAGUUUGGAGAGGCUCAUAAUAAACAUGUGCAUGAUUCAAUGUUGUUGAGGUAGUAGCUUCAAGAUGAUUUUUGUGCACAUCUAAUGAAUUGGGUACAACUCUGGGCGAAAAAUCAAUCAUGUUGUAAUUAGAUUGAUUGGAGAAAUUACAUGUGGAUCCCAAAAGAGGCUCAUAAUAAGCAUGUGUAUGGUUCAAUGUUGUUGAGGUAGUAGCUUGAAGAUGAUUUCCAUGCACAUCUAAUGAAUUGGGUACAACUCUGGGCGAAGAAUCAAUCAUGUUGUAAUUAGAUUGAUUGGAGAAAUUACAUGUAGAUCCCAAAGGAGGCUCAUAAUAAGCAUGUGUAUGGUUCAAUGUUGUUGAGAUAGUAGCUUGAAAAUGAUUUCCAUGCACAUCUAAUGAAUUGGGUACAACUCUGGGCGAAGAAUCAAUCAUGUUGUAAUUAGAUUGAUUGAAGAAAUUGCAUGUGGAUCCCAAAGGAGGCUCAUAAUAAGCAUGUGUAUGGUUCAAUGUUGUUGAGGUAGUAGCUUGAAGAUGAUUUCCAUGCACAUCUAAUGAAUUGGGUAUAAUUCUAGGUG